UAAUUUAGGGAUGGCACGGCUGAGUAGGUUUUUAGAGGCUCUGGGCAUGUCUGGUGUUGCAGCUCCUAAGGCUGGAUCUUCUAAGGAAAAUGAUUUUGAACAAGUUUCUGCUGCAUGAUGAUGCUGGGUUGUGGGCACUACUUUGAGACAUUGAAGAUCCUCACACUGGCUCCAAGCAAGAGGACAGAUGGCACGUGUGCGUGCGUAAGGCUCUGGAACAGCACUGCUGGUGUGAGGAAAGUGAAGAAAGCCAAACUGAGCUCAUGCUGAUGCUCAGAAAAGGAUCACCAUUUGUUUGGAAACCAUUAAUGUCUCAAACCUCAGAGCAUUGCUUAUGGGUUUGGUUGGUAUUUUGCUUUCCAUGUCUUGUUACAGAGAGGACUUCAGCCACAUGCCCAAGGUUGUGUGAGGACUGCAGAGCAGGUUUAGGGAAUGGAGAUCUGACCUCUUGGCCUAAGCCAGGCCAUCUCUCCUCCUUUUGAGACUGUGUAUAACAGACAAGGAGCUGUAUCUGCCUAUUGGUUAAGAUGUUUUCGGUAAUCUUCACAACUGAAAUGCAUACCUAUUUUGCUAUCAACCACCUCAACCCUUUGCCGAGAGGAUUUUGUUUGUUUUGUUCAUUGCUGCCCAGUGGGAGAGCAGAGUAAUGUGGAGAUGGGGUGGGGGCGAAGUGGGACAUGAAUUCACAAAUUUGGCCUGAAGAAGUUGUGUUUCUUGAUGCACAGGUGCUAACAUUGCUUGAUUGCUUGUCCUUUUUCCAACUUGCUCGUCUCCAUCUCCUUUCCCACACUCUCCACCAGACUUAUGAAGGAGGCUGGACAGUGGACGUCGUUAGCAUCUCAGCCACAUUUCUCAAAGGCAGCAGUAGAAAUGAUCUAAUGCUGACUCUGUUUAAGGCUAAAUUGUGCAUAUUUAUCCUCAGCUGAAAAGGAUCAUUAGAUUAUGCCCCAUGCUCAUAUGAAAUCGAUAGUAACAUGUGCAAUGAGCCUGUCCUCUCUUUUAUGACAUUACAGAAUCAAGUAUUUUACUCAUAAAUAGGGCAAGAUAUGAGGCAGAGUGCAUACUUCCUUGAGCUGGGAGACAUGCACCAUAAAUCAGGAUAUGUGCGCAUAAUUACAAGAUAUCAGAACAAGUCCCAAGGGUAUUUUUAGCAUUGUAAAAUGUUAGAUAGACCUGCUUUCUUGCAGAACAUUAUCCUCCUCAUUUCUCCACUCCUAGGUACCAGGCAGUUUUGUUGGCCAGAUUACUUGACACAGGAGCAGCGUGAUAGAUUACAACUGCAAGAAUAUACUGUGUUUAAUUGUACAAUCAGAGUUUAAAACUUCUGAUUAAAUUGUGCAAAGCUUCCAAACUAAUUGUCUGAAAAUGUCUUCAGGGCUGAACACUCAGCAAACAUUUGGAUCUGAACAUCAAAGACCUGGCUUUUCUACUGGCAUGGAGUAUUUUGGGCAGGUAGCCUGACCUGGGUGAAUGAGUGGCUGUGGGAAAAAAAGAAUAGUCAUUGCUGUGGUUGAAUAUCUGUAUUCUUAAGAAGUGUUUGGACAUUGGAAAUUCAUUUUUUGUACAUGAAGUGUUUGGAAAGAUUUGACAGGAGAGAGGAAGGACAUGUUCUGAGUUUAAAUAUUUAUCAUUUUGUUAAUUCAUGUGUGAACAUGAACUUGUUGGUAAUCAUACCUCAUAUGUUCUUAAGGCCAUUUCCUUUCUGAUCUCUGUUCUCAGGACAGCCUUGGCAUCACUGUAUUUUGGAGAGAUGCCAGGGAUCUCCAUGCAUUUUGUCCUUGUGACAACACUGAGUGUUAGUUCUACCUUCUAGGCUGCCACUGUUGAGGAUCAGCUUGAUGAAAGCCGUAAGUGAAUGCCCAGUGCUCAGGUUCAACAAAUGCCACAGGCUGUUUGACACAAGCAGCAUCUUGGGCAGAGUUCUCAUUUUGAUGCUUGUAAAACAAUGCAAAAUAAACAAAAAGGAGAGAAAGGGAGGGAGCUGAGAUGGAUAGCAAGGUCCUAUCUGUUUGUACUGGCUGCCUGGGUUGCCAUGCCUGAGAGGGCAGGAAGGAGGAGGGUGGAAAACAAACCAAUGCUAAUAUGAAAAAGGGUGAGACCUACCUCAACUAGAGGGAGAGUUGUGCUCUUUUUCUUGUAAGGGAGCCCUCUGUACAGCCCAGGAAUGUGUAUUCCCCAUUGCUGCAGUGUUCAGGCUUAGGUGUGUAGUUCUUAGAGCAGAUCUUAAAACCUGCACUUUAGUCAACACUGAAGCUUACAUCAAAACAGAAGGGAAUUUUAUUUUCUGCUUUGCGUGGUGCUGAAUUUCUAAAAAAAACCACACAAACAAACAAA